AGGGGAUUUGGACUCCCGUCGGAUCGGCAUCCGACUUAGAUCCCUUGUCUUACGUACAGAGCUUGAGGCUACAUAUUUUCAACACCGCGACAUCUUUAAAACAGAUAACGCGUCAGAUUUACAAUUGGUUAGUAAUAUAUAUUACUAACACACGAAAAUGAUAUGUAUAUCACAACAUCUGGGUUGCGUUUUACUUCAACCGGUUCCUAUUGUGAUUCCUGAUGAUGAUGGUGUGGUGGUAGUGAUGAAGUAGAAUAUGAUUCAGUUUGUUAAUAAGAUUUCUCAUUACAUUAUGUUUAGUAAGGUGAUGAAGUAGGAGACUCAGUUUGCGAAUAAAGCUGGUGCUCUUGGUGAUGAAAUCAUUAUUGUUCGUGAUAAGAGCAAGAUUAUUGUUAACUCUUACUACCCUUUAUCACCAGGUCGUUUCUUUUUUAUAAUAGUUUUUAUUUUCUUAUUGAAGUGACUCAUUUUAUUUUUGAUGUUUGUUUCUUAGGUGGUUUAGCUUUGAAGGCAGUUGAGAAAAACACAUCACCUCUGAAAGAAUCAUCCAUGGCUACUUUGGGUUCAUAUUUGAGUGUUUUCUUCUUCCAGCAUAUAAGUGAAUAUCUGAUGGGAGUAGAAUACUACCUUUGAAAUGAAUGAGGUAUCUUUGCCUCCAUGUAGGCCCGACCUGUAAACAAGAAGAUCCCGGAAGUGGACUUUACCAGCAUUACCAAGAAGUACCCUCAUCUACCAGAGUUUCAGGAGUUUCAUUUGGAAGUGUUCGAGAGGGCUAAUCAACAUGCUGAAACUUCAACAGUUGUAUCAUCAACUGAGUCUUCACAUCAGGUUUUAAACUCAGGUCUGCGAAACUAUAGCUGAAGCAAUAGUGAAGAAGUACGGUGUCGUAAGGUUGACUUCUGAAGUUGAAGGACUAGCUGUGCUGAAACAACCCAGAUAAGUACUGCGCUGUGCUCAGGGGUGUGUUGUACUUGAUAGACACGGGGAUCACAUCAAAGGAAAGGGUUACUUGUUGAAGACGAAUUUGAUUAUAUGAAAGUGACAUUUGUAAGGGAUAUCAAAGCUCAACAAAGAAGUUCGAGGUUUGUUGCCAGUAAACAUGUUCCAUCUCCUAAUUUGGCUAUUACACAGUUUUGUUCUGAAUGCAACUUGCUUUUGUUGGUAUGUCAUUGAUAAGAGAUAGGGAUUGAGAAACACAGAUAAUGGACAAGCUCCGCUCGGACUCAGGUUUUAAACUUGGGUUUGCGAAACAUAAAUCAGAAGCAAUAGUGAUCUCCAAUGAAGCAUUGGUAUUUGGUUUUGGAAUCUCCAAUAGGAUCAGACCCCAACAAUAAUGCUUAUGAAGAUCCCAUUUGUCUUCACUGGAACCGCGAAUGAAGCUCCUUCAAUUUUGGCAACUGUUGGAGAUGAUGAGUAUUGGGAUGGAGAUAUUCAGGUAAUAAUGUUGGUUUUAACACUUGUUUAGUGGCUUUUCUUUUAAGAUUUACAUUGGUCAGAACUCAAGAUUUUAAUCCUUUUUAUGUAAUUUGAACCCAAUAAAACCAUGGAAAUUAAAUUGAAUGAUUAUUUGUGUGCGCGUUUAAUU